CCUGGUGUGUGCACAGGUGUGUCUGCUGGUUAUCCCUCUCUGCCUCUGCCUGGUGAAGUCUCUGGAGAUUCCUCGGUAUGUCCUUACUGCGUCUACUACAACCAACUCGGUGAACAUCCGGAUGAGCAGUUGGAAGACCCUCUCCAUGGAAACUCAUGCCACAUUGACAACCUGUAUCACAAUGACAGUCCAUGUCAGUGUAGCAGUCCACAGCGAUCUGAGCCAAAGAUAAGCAUCUGGAAAUGCUUUUGGCUGAGACUCCGAAACAAGUUAGAACUUAUUGUCUGCAGCAGAUACUUCAGCAGGGGAAUCAUGAUUGCCAUCCUCAUUAACACGCUGUCAAUGGGCAUAGAGUACCACGAGCAGCACCCAGCAUAUGGGAUCUCAACACCAGUGUGCAUGCUCGGCUGUGUGUGGGUGUAUGCAGACAUGUAUGAGGAGAUGGGGAAACUCAUAAGACCUCCAGUGCUAAUUAAAGAGUGACCCUGGGAAAAGAGUGAGAGACUGAGCGGAAAUAGAGCUGAGUCGCAGGAGAAGGCAGGAGUGAAGGGAAGAAUCAGGUGGAGGAGGACAGAUCUGACAUUCCGAUUGGCUGAAUGUCGGCAGCAGACUGUGGAAAACGAGGGAAGAUUUCAUUUGUCAUUCAGCCUGCUCCUUGACACAUCUGGAUGGCCAUAGCAUAGUGAAUGUUGAAUAUUU